GGCUCAUGGGAUCCUAGAAUUUUGAAAGCUUAGAAUCUUGUAAAUAAAUUGAUGCUCAGAGUCCCCAAAAUACAAAGUUGUAGUAUUUGAGAACCUUAGGAGGAUAAACUUGAGAGUUGAGGAAACAAGGGGAGUUUGGAAUGUUAGAAUCUAAGGAGAUUCAUAGAAUUUUGGAAUCAUAGCCUUGGAAUGUCUUAGAAACGUGUCAUUUUGAGUGAGAAGAAACCCUCUGCUUGAGGUCUUGAGGGCACGCUGCUACCCUUCGCUGGUUUGCACUGAAAAGAGGAUGUGGGCUAGACUGAUGUAGUUCCGUGAUUCAAGGCUGGGUGUGAUCCCUGGGUUUUGGUGUUGAUUGGGUCCUGAGAAAGGGAUAGCAUGUCAGACAUCUCCA
rnacentral:lncRNA from 1 species